rnacentral:rRNA from 1 species
UCCAGACUCCUACGGGAGGCAGCAGUGGGGAAUAUUGCACAAUGGGGGAAACCCUGAUGCAGCAACGCCGCGUGAGUGAGGAAGUAUUUCGGUAUGUAAAGCUCUAUCAGCAGGGAAUAGAAAAGAAGGUACCUGAAAAAGAAGCCCCGGCUAACUACGUGCCAGCAGCCGCGGUAAUACGUAGGGGGCAAGCGUUAUCCGGAUUUACUGGGUGUAAAGGGAGCGUAGGCGGCAGUGCAAGUCAGAAGUGAAAGCCCGGGGCUCAACUCCGGGACUGCUUUUGAAACUGUACAGCUUGAUUGCAGGAGAGGCAAGUGGAAUUCCUAGUGUAGCGGUGAAAUGCGUAGAUAUUAGGAGGAACACCAGUGGCGAAGGCGGCUUGCUGGACUGUAAAUGACGCUGAGGCUCGAAAGCGUGGGGAGCAAACAGGAUUAGAUACCCGAGUA